rnacentral:rRNA from 1 species
GAUGAACGCUGGCGGCGUGCCUAAUACAUGCAAGUCGAGCGAACGGACGAGAAGCUUGCUUCUCUGAUGUUAGCGGCGGACGGGUGAGUAACACGUGGAUAACCUACCUAUAAGACUGGGAUAACUUCGGGAAACCGGAGCUAAUACCGGAUGAUAUUUUGAACCGCAUGGUUCAAAAGUGAAAGACGGUCUUGCUGUCACUUAUAGAUGGAUCCGCGCUGCAUUAGCUAGUUGGUAAGGUAACGGCUUACCAAGGCAACGAUGCAUAGCCGACGUGAGAGGGUGAUCGGCCACACUGGAGCUGAGACACGGUCCAGACUCCUACGGGAGGCAGCAGUAGGGAAUCGUCCGCAAUGGGCGAAAGCCUGGCGGAGCAACGCCGCGUGAGUGAUAAAGGUCUUCGGAUCGUAAAACUCUGUUAUUAGGGAAGAACAGAUGUGUAAGUAACUGUGCACAUCUUGACGGUACCUAAUCAGAAAGCCACGGCUAACUACGUG